rnacentral:rRNA from 1 species
GAUUGAACGCUGGCGGCAGGCCUAACACAUGCAAGUCGAGCGGCGGCACAGAGAGCUUGCUCUCGGGUGACGAGCGGCGGACGGGUGAGUAAUGUCUGGGAAACUGCCUGAUGGAGGGGGAUAACUACUGGAAACGGUAGCUAAUACCGCAUAAUGUCGCAAGACCAAAGUGGGGGACCUUCGGGCCUCAUGCCAUCAGAUGUGCCCAGAUGGGAUUAGCUAGUAGGUGGGGUAACGGCUCACCUAGGCGACGAUCCCUAGCUGGUCUGAGAGGAUGACCAGCCACACUGGAACUGAGACACGGUCCAGACUCCUACGGGAGGCAGCAGUGGGGAAUAUUGCACAAUGGGCGCAAGCCUGAUGCAGCCAUGCCGCGUGUGUGAAGAAGGCCUUCGGGUUGUAAAGCACUUUCAGCGGGGAGGAAGGCGGUGAGGUUAAUAACCUCAUCGAUUGACGUUACCCGCAGAAGAAGCACCGGCUAACUCCGUGCCAGCAGCCGCGGUAAUACGGAGGGUGCAAGCGUUAAUCGGAAUUACUGGGCGUAAAGCGCACGCAGGCGGUCUGUCAAGUCGGAUGUGAAAUCCCCGGGCUUAACCUGGGAACUGCAUUCGAAACUGGCAGGCUAGAGUCUUGUAGAGGGGGGUAGAAUUCCAGGUGUAGCGGUGAAAUGCGUAGAGAUCUGGAGGAAUACCGGUGGCGAAGGCGGCCCCCUGGACAAAGACUGACGCUCAGGUGCGAAAGCGUGGGGAGCAAACAGGAUUAGAUACCCUGGUAGUCCACGCCGUAAACGAUGUCGAUUUGGAGGUUGUGCCCUUGAGGCGUGGCUUCCGGAGCUAACGCGUUAAAUCGACCGCCUGGGGAGUACGGCCGCAAGGUUAAAACUCAAAUGAAUUGACGGGGGCCCGCACAAGCGGUGGAGCAUGUGGUUUAAUUCGAUGCAACGCGAAGAACCUUACCUGGUCUUGACAUCCACAGAACUUUCCAGAGAUGGAUUGGUGCCUUCGGGAACUGUGAGACAGGUGCUGCAUGGCUGUCGUCAGCUCGUGUUGUGAAAUGUUGGGUUAAGUCCCGCAACGAGCGCAACCCUUAUCCUUUGUUGCCAGCGGUCCGGCCGGGAACUCAAAGGAGACUGCCAGUGAUAAACUGGAGGAAGGUGGGGAUGACGUCAAGUCAUCAUGGCCCUUACGACCAGGGCUACACACGUGCUACAAUGGCAUAUACAAAGAGAAGCGACCUCGCGAGAGCAAGCGGACCUCAUAAAGUAUGUCGUAGUCCGGAUUGGAGUCUGCAACUCGACUCCAUGAAGUCGGAAUCGCUAGUAAUCGUAGAUCAGAAUGCUACGGUGAAUACGUUCCCGGGCCUUGUACACACCGCCCGUCACACCAUGGGAGUGGGUUGCAAAAGAAGUAGGUAGCUUAACCUNUCGGGAGGGCGCUUACCACUUUGUGAUUCAUGACUGGGGUGAAGUCGUAACAAGG